rnacentral:lncRNA from 1 species
GUUAGUAUGGCCGGGAGAGCUGGGAGGGCUGUUCCAAUGGCAGAGACAAGAAGGGUCCGGAGGAGAAGAAGAAGGAGGAGGAGGAAAAGGUGGACACGGAGACCCAAGAGUGUGACCCAGCCUUCGUGGUGUAGUGGCAAGCAUAGCUGCCUUCCAAAAGUGGAGACUGAAGAUUCCUGAGCUGCAGGGAAGCAGAAGAGGCUGGGCCAGGGUGGCAGUGAUGUCAGACCUCAGGGGGCCAUGAAAGUCAUCAGCUCCCCACUUGCAGAAGAGAGAGGGCAGAGACUUGCACAAGUCACCCACCAAGGGAUGUAGGACCAGGCUGGAGCCCCGGCUGCCUCCAAUCCUGUCUUGGGUUCUGUGGGGAAUAAGUCAAGAAUCCAUGUGCGGCUCGAGAAGGCAGCUAGCAUUGGGCCUCCACUUCUGUGUUACCUAAAGAGUGGGACCCCAACACCCUGGGUCCCAGGAUCCUGCCUCAGGGUCUCUGUGUCCCCCUCUUUUGGGGUCCACCCUCUGUCAUCUCGACUGCCUUUCCUACUGAGCCCUGGGAGCUGUAGAUCAUCAAACCCUUGGCCUUGGGAAACCCCUAAGACUGACCCGGCUGUGGCCUGCAGUCGAAGGUGCACAGAGCAGGGCUCCAUGCCACUGGAAGGCAGCCACAGCCCACGAGGCUCCUCCAGCCCAGGCCCCAGGACCCCCCAGCCAGCUCCCCACAACAGACUCGAUGCCCUGUCCCCUUCCCACUCCCCCUGCACUGCAGGCCCAGUUCCUGCAUUCCUGCAACCCACGCAAAGCAACCCAGGGAAGGCAACCCAGGCAAGGCAACCCAGGCAAGGCAUGUGGAGACCUCACUGGGGCCUGCCCAUCCCCUGGGGCCUACCGAUCCGAUCCGAUCCGUUACUUCUCAGUGCUCUGUGGGGAAUGCGGAGCUUCAGAAGCAGCCCAUGCAAACGUAUGCAAAAAAGGUGCAAAUAUAAAAAGAGUAUUUUCAAUUAAAAUCAGUGUGAACCUUGGCUAUUGUCCCUCUCUUUGUCUGAGGGGGAGUGAACCCAAGGGCACUCUCUCAUUGAGCUAGAUCCCCAGCCCCUGCACCUUAUUUUUUGGAAAGAAGGUCUUGCUAAGCUACCCAGCCU